rnacentral:rRNA from 1 species
AACGAACGCUGGCGGCAUGCCUAACACAUGCAAGUCGAACGAGACCUUCGGGUUUAGUUGCGCACGUGUGCUUACCGCGUGGGAACCUGCCCUUAGGUUCCGUAUACCUCCCUGUAGGGUGUCCUCAUACCGCAUAAUCUCUUCGCACCUAAGAUUUCUCGCGUUUGGAUGGGCCCGCGUUGGAUUCGCCAGUUGGUAGGGUACAAGCCUAUCAAGGCGACGAUGCAUAGCUGGUCUGGGAGGAGGAUCAGCCACACUGGGACUGAGGCACGGACCAGAAUGCUACGGGAGGGAGGAGUGGGGAAUAUUAGACAAGGGGGGAAAGUGUGAUACAGCAGUGUGGCGUGAGAGAUGAAGGGGUUAGGGUUGUAAAGCCCUUUUAGACGAGAUGUGAAUGACAGUACCGGGUGAAUAAGCACCGGCUAACUACGUG